CCUACGGGUGGCAGCAGUGAGGAAUAUUGGUCAAUGGGCUUACGCCUGAACCAGCCAAGUCGCGUGAGGGAAGACUGCCCUAUGGGUUGUAAACCUCUUUUGCCAGGGAGCAACGCCGGCUACGUGUAGCCGGACUGAGAGUACCUGAAGAAAAAGCAUCGGCUAACUCCGUGCCAGCAGACGCGGUAAUACGGAGGAUGCGAGCGAUAUCCGGCUUUAUUGGGUUUACAGGGUGCGUAGGCGGACUGCCAAGUCAGCGGUAAAAUCGCGGGGCUAACCCUCGCUCCGCCGUUGAAACUGGCGUUAUUGAGUGGGCGAGAAGAAUGCGGAAUGCGUGGUGUAGCGGUGAAAUGCAUAGAGAUCACGCAGAACACCGGUUGCGAAGGCAGCAUACCGGCGCCCAACUGACGCUGAAGCACGAAAGCGUGGGUAUCGAACAGGAUUAGAUACCCGGGUAGUC
rnacentral:rRNA from 1 species